UACGUAGGGGGCUAGCGCUAUCCGAAUUUACUGGGCAUAAAGGGUGCGCAGGCGGUUAUUUAUGUCAGAUGUUAAAGGCUCCGGCUCAACUGGAGUUUGCAUUUGAGACUGAAUAACUAGAGGUCAGGAGAGGAAAGCGGAACUCACGGUGUAGCGGUGAAAUGCGUAGAUAUCGUGAGGAACACCAGUGGCGAAGGCGGCUUUCUGGACUGAAUCUGACGCUGAGGCACGAAAGCGUGGGGAGCGAACGGG
rnacentral:rRNA from 1 species